AUGGAUUUACUUGAGGCAAGCAAAGAAGUUGUUAGUAAAAAUAAAAGGCAAGAAGAGAAUGACAAUGCCAAUGUUAACAAUGAAGUUGAGAUUAGCACUAAAGGUCUUCUGUCAGAUGUCAUAGACAAUCUUGAGGACAUUACGAAGGAUGAACAUUCAACCAAAAAUAAUGUUGAGUCUGAUGUCUUUAACAUAAAUGAAAAUCUUAAUGUCCAGAAUAAAUUUGAAUGA